UAGAGCCCGCGUUUGAGCUGUUCUUGUGCCCUGUGCGGUCAAUAAGGUGCCUAAAGCAACGUGUUGAUAGGACGGUCGCCACUUGUCUUUAGUCACGUGGCUUUGGUGGCAACUUUACGUUCAACUACAUUC